AGCGAACGCUGGCGGCAGGCCUAACACAUGCAAGUCGAACGAACCCUUCGGGGUUAGUGGCGGACGGGUGAGUAACACGUGGGAACGUGCCUUUAGGUUCGGAAUAACUCAGGGAAACUUGUGCUAAUACCGAAUGUGUCCUUCGGGGGAAAGAUUUAUCGCCUUUAGAGCGGCCCGCGUCUGAUUAGCUAGUUGGUGAGGUAAUGGCUCACCAAGGCUACGAUCAGUAGCUGGUCUGAGAGGAUGACCAGCCACAUUGGGACUGAGACACGGCCCAAACUCCUACGGGAGGCAGCAGUGGGGAAUCUUGCGCAAUGGGCGAAAGCCUGACGCAGCCAUGCCGCGUGGAUGAUGAAGGUCUUAGGAUUAUAAAAUCCUUUCACCGGUGAAGAUAAUGACUGUAGCCGGAGAAGAAGCCCCGGCUAACUUCGUGCCAGCCGCCGCCGUAAAAC
rnacentral:rRNA from 1 species